AAAUCUGUAAAAAAGUCUGUACAACUACAUUUAACACAUUCAAUCAACUUAAACAAAGAUUUUAUUCAUUAAGUUAAAAAGAUGAGUUUUGUGAGCAACACUUUGCUAGUUCAUUCAAAAAAGCAUCUGCCAACUUGUUUUUUUGUGUUAAGUCAAUCUCUGACUUUUUUAAUGCAAUGAAUAUACAAGUAGCAUAACCUUUUGUUGAUUGAAAAGGUUUCAAACAUGUUAAAUAUUCUAAAAAAAUUAUCAAUGGCAGUAUAGAACCUUUUCCCAGAGAUGGGUUGGGGCUGGAAGGGCAUCCGCUGCGUAAAAACCUGCUGGAUAAGUUGGCGGUUCAUUCCGCUGUGGCGACCCCAGAUUAAUAAAGGGACUAAGCCAACAAGAAAAUGAAUGAAUGAGUAUAGAACCUUUCAUGGUUUGUAUUAAAAAGUAAAUGCUGAGUGAGAAUGCUAUUAUUAUUAUUAUUAUUAAUACAAUAAUAAAUAUCGUUAUUCUUCACAUUGUUAUUAAAAACAACAAAAAACACUACAAUACUUAUAGUAACUUUAUUUGAAACUUUUCAUUUGCAAUUUAACUUUAUUUGGUGCACAUUUGCAGAAAUAAGCUUGCACGCACAUUAUCAUCUCGUGUUUAUUCAUUACCCUUUAAAAAAAGAAAGGCAUACUUUGAUAUUCCAAUAUUUAAAAAUAAACCAUGCACUCAAAAAUAUGUUUCUCAAAGGACGAUAUAGCAUCAUUCUGUCUUGAGCUAAACCACGCCCUCGUUACGAUGGUUGCGCUUACGUAACGUCAACGUCUCAGGCGGGAGAAACUGGAAGCAUUGUACUUCGGUGGGGAAAGAGGCAAGCCGUGGAAGAGCAAUCUUAAUAACGGUGGCGGUAAUGUUCCAAAAGCUGGUUGCCAACCGCUAUGAUGAUCACAAGAAGAAAAAGAAGUUUGGCGUUUCAAAACAGUGGAUUCCGGUCAGAAAGACACACAUGAGGAAGCUCGACUCAGCUUGGCUUGCAGACAGAUGAGGACGGUGAUUGCCCGUCAUACACCUAAAGAAAGAACAGGGGCAUUAAAGACACAACUAUAGUGAACGAGG